rnacentral:lncRNA from 1 species
UUCUAUAUAUAUAUAUAUAUAUAUAUAUAUAUAUAUAUAUAUAAUUUUAUUUUACUUCUUAUUUUUUUAAUCCUAACUGUUUAUUAUUUGAAUGUUUUUUGAAAGAAUUUUAUUGGAUUGGGUGUAACUAAUUAGAACGCAAGUUUUUUAUAGUGAGAUAUUUAUGAUUUGUCCAUAAAUUAUUUAAUAAAUUUUAUAAAAAAUAUAUCUAUACGGGUAUCCGUAUCCGAUCUAAAUCCGGCUUGUAUCCGAUUCAUACUCGGUCUUAAGCAGAUAGUAUACGAAUAGUCACUACUCAGACCUCCUGAAAUAGACUCAAUCGGUAUAUUAUUAAUUUAAACAUCGAGACUCAGAGAAGGUCCAAAGUUAAAUGAAUUAAGUAUAUAAUUUUUUUCC